GAUUUGCAAAUAUUUUCUCCCAAGUCUGUGGCUUUUGUUUUCAUUCUCUAGAUAAUGUCUUUUGACAAGCAGAAACUCUUAAUUUUGAUGAAGUCCAAUUUAUCAACUUUUUUGUUUAUGGUCAUUGUUUUAUUGUUACAAUUUGCAUAACCUGUGAUCACAAAGAUUUUCUGCUCUGUUUUCCUUAAGAAAUUUUUUUUCUAAAGAGAUACCACAUAUCCAUUUUCCUUGUGAAAUGUUCCAAUUUGUAAUAUUAAAAUAUAACCUGUCUAGGACUGGAAGAUGGCUAUCAGUUUUCAUACAUUAGUUUAUAUUAUGUGUAGUAUAAUAUUUGGCCAUAGCUGGCCAUUUUGAUCUAUAAAACAACUGUUUCAUAUGUUUCAACCUCAUGCCCUUUGUAGGUUAUUAAAUUAUAGGCAAUCAAUUGAAUCACAGAUAUCUGCAUAUAUAGUGGCAAGCCUUCAUCUGUUUUUUGUUUUUUUUCUAUUUGGGUCCCAUGAGUUUGCUAAAUAAUGAGAAAACCAAGGCCUAAUGAAGUGAAACAUCUAGUUUGAAGACAUUCAUCACGACUCCUUUUCACUGUAUGGAUUAUGAAGCUCAAAGGUCACCUGGCUCUGUACUUUCUAAACCCAGAACUCCACAAAACUUACUUGAAAUUCAUAUUUUAAAACAUAUGUUUAACUGUUCCAACAUUAUAAUAAGUUGUUAUAGUUUGGAUCAUGAACAUUUAAACACUUUGUUCCCUUGGGUGGUGCUAUUGGAAGGAGGUAGGCCGUCAGGAGGUGAUGCUUAGUGGAAGGUCUCAGGUCACUGGUGUAUGCCAUUGAAGGGACUUAUGGGAGCCUGAUCCCUUCCUCUUUCUCUUUGCUUCCUGGAUUGUGAUGUGAGCAGUUUUGUCCACCAUGUGCUCCCAUUAUGACAUGCUGCCUUGCCACAAACCUAAGAUAUAGGAUUAUGGCCUGGAACUCCCCAAAACUGUGAGCUAAAUAAACCUUUUCUCCUUAUAAGUUAAUUAUCUGAAGUAUUUCAUUAUAGUGGUGGAAAGCUGACUCACAUGGAAAAUAUUAUAAGAGAUGUUGGCCAGCCCAUCCUCUGCACCUUGGGGCAGUGUCUGUGUCUCAUGCCUCCUGAUGUGGCCAUGGAGGGAGUGGCUGCUCCAGGACCAGCUGAAGGCUUGCGGAGAGGGUGAAAGAAAUUACUGUUACCUGUACCCAACCAAAGUCUGAAAAUAUUACAGAGAAAAUUCCAGAAAUAAAUACCUCGUAAGUUUAAAAUUUCACACUCUCCUGAGGAAUAUGGUGAAAUCUUGCAGAAUUCUGCUCCAUCCUGUUUGAAAUGUGAGUCAUCCUUUCAUCUGGUGUAUGUACCCUGCACACGCCAUCCACCCGUAGUCACUUAGUAGCUGUCUUGGCUACCAGAUCAACUUUUGCAAUAUUGUAAUGUUUGUUCAAAUGAUGCUUAUUUUACUUAAUAAUGGCCUCAAAGCACAAGAUUAGCAAUGCUGGCAAUUUUAUUACAGUAUAUUGUUAUAAUUGUUCUAUUUUAGUAUUAGUUAUUGUUCUUUAAUCUCCUACUGUGCCUAAUUUACAAAUUAAACCUAAGUAUUUGCAUAUAUUUAUGGAAGUAUUUUCAUAAAUAUGAAAAAAACAUAGUAUAUAUAGGGUUUGCUACUCUCUGAGGUUUCAGGCAUCUGCUGGGGUCCUAGAACAUGUUCCUGUGAAUAAGGGCAGAAUACUGCAUCAUAGGAAAUUUGUUGCCUUAUGGAAUGAAAAAAGCCACAGGUAGGAAUUCUUCUAGGUAUGGCUUGGGAAAGGUUCAGUUGCAGUCCCUACAAUUCUAUUUUUCUUUAUCUCACAUAUCUCUUCAUCUUGGGUUGGCUUCAUCUGCAGUUCGUGUGAGAUGGCCAUGGCAGCUGCAGUUCCUGCCUCCCAGUCCCCAAGUUUUGGUGCCCUAGGGAAGAGGGACUGCUAGUCUUGGAAGGUCUCACUGCCCUGCCUUGUCUCUGUCCAGCCAAUCACAGGGUGACCAUUGGUACUGAUUGGAUUGGGCUUCAUCCAAAUUAUGGACAGCAAUGGGGAAGAGUGGGCUCCCAAAGGAAACUCUGGGUGCUGUUUUACCAGAUGGAUGAUGCUCCCCACUGUAUCCUGGGGAGCACUGGGUGAGAUAGGGCCUGGAUUCUGUUUCUGGAUCUGUUGCUGCUUUGCUGUGUGGCACUGAGCAGCUUACUUGUUAACUUCUCUGAGCUCCACUGUAAAAUGAGGGGGUGGGAUUGGAUACUCUCUGAGGGACCUUCCAGUUCCCACAACCUAGCCACUUGGAGGCUUUUCCCAUCUGUUUAGUCCAUCUGUUUUUUUGUGGCUGCAGACACUAGUAGUAAAAAUCCUUAGAAAACCCAAUGGGUUUUCUGCAGGGAAAGUUGUGUAGAGGAGAGCUAUGUUUGCAUCAGGGAUAGAGUGGCACUAAAGAGGCUUUGUUUUCCACAUGAAGUGCUGGGGGGUGGCCAGUCCUGGAUCCUAGGAGAAUUUGGGGCCUGGGCAAAAGGUCAUGGAUGAAGGGUCACUCUGUGCUUGGUGUCAAGCUUAGUAUAUGGCGAUGGUUUGGGGUGGCAUGUGAAUUAGAGAUUACUGGAUGGCUGAGCUUAAGACCUAGUCUGCAUCUGGGUUGGGGAUGGAAUCAGAAAUUUGUCAGCACUAGACAGGGCAGGUCUAUAGGUGACUCAGCUGUUGUAUGAAAGUGGCUUUGGCCAUAUGUGAUCUCUCAAGCACUUACUGUCAUUUAAUAUCUUAUACAUUUUAUUUAUUCCUUUGUUUUUUGUCUGUCCCCUUUAAGUAGAAUGUCAACUCCAUGAAGGCACAGACUGUUCUCCAUGGUCCAUAGAAAGCUCUUAGAUCAGUGCUUGGCACCUUGUAGGUGCCCAAUAAGUUGUGGUGGGGUGACUAAGUGAGUGAGGCAGAGGUGCAUGGAUCUAGGGGUAGUCAGUGCUGUGCACAUUCCACUAGAAGUUCCCCAACUCUGCUGGACUUUAGAACCACCUGGAGAGCUCCUAAAAAUACCAAUGCUCAUGAUGCACCCUGCACCGAUUGAAUCAGAAUACUGGGGGUCUGCAGCCAAGAAUCAUAAUUUUUAAGAGGAUUCUCCUAGGUUAUUCCACUAUACUGCAAAAUGUGAGAGCCACUCAGAUGUGCAGGGGGUCACAUUCUGCAGGAGGACAUGCAUACAUAGUGGCCCACACACAUCCAGGAUAAAGGAGCCGAACCAGAGCUGGCGCUGUAAUGCGGCUCAGGUUCUGGGUGGUAGGAUGGAGACUUUUGUCCUAGAUCUCUAUCACAUUCUCUGGACACCCGCCACAGAGGUGAUUACUUUGCUAUCACAGAAAGGAUUUUGGCUGCAAGUCAAGAAGAGCUCUUGCUUUCCAGUUAAACGAUGGCAAAUCAAUUUGAGGUUUCCGCUGGAGCUGCUGAUUAGGGCUGGCAGCUAGGGAGCCUCUGGCUGUUGGAGUCAAGGCAAGCCUUGGCUAAACCUUUGGGAGGAAGAAGCAGGCAGAAGCUGCAGGCCAGCUUUGGGAUACAACAGCCCAGACUUCUCUUGGAGUGCAGGGAAAGCCUUAAGGAGUUGCUGUCCAAAUGGGAAGUUGCAAUUUCCAUUUAUUUAGACCAGUAGUAUUAAUUGUCUUAGUUGUCAUUGGUUAAAAACUUGUAUGUGCCCAGCAUUUUAAUAAUUUGUUGCAGUUUCUGAGCAUUGUAAGUCUUGCCCCUUUUUAUGGAGCUUCAGAGAGAUGAAAUAAAAUGCUCCAGGUCAAAUGGCUUCAAAGUUUCAAGCCAGGCUUGAAACAAGGUCUGUCUGGUAAAAAUCCAAAUGUUUUCUCUUGGUGCCCUGCUGUGUGUUGGUUUGCAUGCCAGACUCUUAGCUCCCAUGAGCAUGUCAAGCUCAAGUCUGAAAGGCAAUGCUUAGCCCUGUAGAUAACCACUGGGGAGAGUUUGCUGAAGGCAGAAAGGGAUAAGGAAAUAUUUGCUGAGUGGAUGGGUAAAUGAAAGAGUGUUUACUGACUUGGUCCUGAAGAAAGAGCUGCAAGUGGCUUGAGGUCUGUACUGUUUUGUGGGAAGUAGGUAGCCUCCAAGAGGAGCUAGUGCCCAGUGAGCUCCUCUUCGGAGAGUCGUGCUUCGUGCAGUAUCUUCCACUCUGAAUUAGAGCUGGUCUGAGUGAUCCACAGAAUAUUUCAGAAGCGAUGACUUGUGGCUUCCAAAACUAGGUCCACAAGUGACAUUGCAGCUUUCACCUUGAUCUCCUGGACAGCCCACUCUGCAGAGGCUAGUUGUCAUAUUGGGAGGACAUUCAACAAGUUCUACAAAGAGGCUUCCCCAGGAAGGAUGUCUCCUGCCAACAACCAGCGCUAACUGCUAGAAAUGUGACUGAGCCACCUCAGAAGUGCAAUAUCCAGCCCAAUUGAACCUGCAGAUGAGACUGCUGUCUGGCCACCAUCUUGCUAGUGACUUCAUGAUGGAUCCCAAUCUAGAACUACACAUUUAAUCCAUGUCAGAAACUGUGACCCACAAAAACAGUGAGAGAAAAUGAAAUAUUUACUGCUUGCAGCCACUAAGUUUUAGGGUAAUUUGUUAUGCAGUGACAGAUAACAGCUACACAUUGCUAAGUCUAUUUUGAGCUGAAGAUUCAAGAGAGCUUCCAGAAGGAGACAGUUAUUCCCUUCUGUCCCCUACUCUCUCUUGACCCUUACUUCUCAGCUUGUCUUGUGUUAUGGUGAAAAGACACAAGACAGAUUUGGUUUCAAAUCUAGGCUUCCCAAUUUACUCUUUGGAUGGCUGGAGGGCUUUUAUUAAAAUUAAUUCUUUUUAUCCAUGUCGUUUCUUCUCCUUCCUUUCUUUUCUUCCUAUUCUUAUUUUGCUUCACAAGAUAUACCAUUAUAAUAGCAAUAGUUAUUAAUUUAUAAAACUAUGACAUACCAGGCACUGAUUAGGGAUUUACAGAUAUUUGGUCUAGUUUCUUCAAUAAUCUUGAUAGUAAUGGUGGUGGGGUUAGACAUUAUUACACUAAUUUUUUUAAUAGAUAGUGAAACUAAGGUCCAGAACAGUUGAGUCACCUGCCCAAGAUCAAGUGGAAAGAAUGAGGAUUCAGAACCAGGUCUGAGUUGAAAGCCUCAUUCCCUUUAUAUUCUUCUUCUUCCAAGCCUCAGCUUCCUCACAUGUAAAACAGGAAUAAUACUGACCUUGUAGAUUGCUGUCAAGAUGAGAGGUGGUGCUUUUAAAGCAAUUAACUUUUGUGUAUGGCAUACAGCAGGUGGUUAGUGAAUGGAGCUCCCUCACCCUCCCUCUCCUUAUGUAUAUUAAUAUGGACUGCCUUAACCUUCAUACAGACAUGGCUAUGUCAAGUGCCUCUCACAAUGAGAGGAGCAGGGAGUUGAUGUGGCCAAGAGCUGCUGACCCCUGGGCCUUCUCCAGGUAGGGUAGAUGAUGUAGGUCUGGAGUCCAAGGAGAUAGUGACACCAGCUCUGAUGCCACCUACUGAGCCUGUACCAUUUGCUGGUUCUAUGUUUGGAGCUGUCUGAGCUCAUACAGAGAGGAAGGGGCGGUGUCUGCAUACCCAGUGCCUGUGGAGAGGCUGGGUGUGUAGAGAUGUCUCCAGCUAGAGGAUCCCGGCUGAGAAAACAUUGUCCUCAGGAGGUAUCGAAUCAUUUCUCAGAUCAGGCAAGAAACCCCAAUUAAUUACAAGUGCUAAGUAAGUGGUCUAGAAGCAGAGUUUUGCAGUCAAUUAGAGAGAUGCUGGAGGAGGCUUCAGUAACCCUCUGCCUCCUGGCAGCUUUCAGUUGAGUAAUGAGAGCUGUUUGGCUAGAAUGAGCUCCCUGACACUAUGGGGCACGCAAGUAAGAGAGCACCCUUACUAAAGACGGUACAGAAGGAAUUCCUGGAUUGUAUGGGAAGAUGGAUUUGACUUUAAAUCCCCUUCCCACUCCAGGUUUCUUGAUUUCCAGGUAUUUUGAUCUUGUAGUGAGCCAGUGGUCACGAUCUUGAUCCAUUUGGGGGCUAGCCCAUGCAGAGUGCUGUUUGGGCUUCUCCUGGUUGAGCCAGCAUGUAGCACAGAUGGCCCACUGCAUUCUCCCAAGAUACCUCACACCCAGGAGCCCCAAACUCAUGACAUUCCUCUCAAGCUGUCCCCCAUCCAAGUUCCAGGUCUUGGAGAGUGGUACCAUCCAAGGUGGAGAGGUAGGCAUUGGUCCAGACAUCUCUUUCCUCCAUGCUGCCCACAUCUAACCUUGCCAAUUUGUCUUCCUAUGACUCCCUCUAAUCUGCCUCCACCUCAUUCCAGUAGGGGACAGAGUGCUUUGGGACCCACCCAGUGGAAUGGAGAGGAAGUGGGAGCUGAUGAAAAGCAGCAAGGUGUCUUGGUUUGGGUUUUUACUGAGAAGAGAACUGAAUUUCAGGAGGACAGUAUUUGGAGUUCUGGGCAGGCAAUACAGAUGGACUCCCAUGGAACUCCAACAGCCCUAAUGUUUUCUUUCACUCCAGUCUUCAGUCUUGGAAGGCCUUCAGUCCUUGGGGGAACUCACCAUUGGCUACUUCCCCUGUACUGAGACACUUCCUCUACCACCUGGAACCCUAUGGCUGAAGAGGUUUGGAGCUCUAAUUCCUCUGAGGCUCUGCUCAACUCCAGCACUUUGUAGGCAAGAGAGACUUUUGGCUCAGUCUCUGUGGAGAGCAGCUUCUAGGACUCUCAAUGAUCCCUCAUCCUGGUAUUCACAGACUUUUGUAAUCCCUUCCUCAUAAAUGUGGGCAGGAUCUGUAAUAAAGGUGGUGGGACAUCACUUUUGUGGUUAGGUUACAUAACAUUGUGGCUUCCGUCUUGGUAGCAGGUUCUCUCUAUUGCCUUCUUGGCUUGCAUGCUGUAAUGAAGCAAGUUGCCAUGUUUUGAGCUGCCCCAGUGGAGGAACCCACAGGGCAAGGAACAGAAGACUGUCACCAGUUGGACAACCUGCAAGGAACUGAAGCCUCCAGUUCCUCCAAUUCAGUAGAACUGAAUUUGCCACUAACCACAUGAGCUUGGAAGUGAGCCUUGUAAUGAGACCCCAGCCCUGGCCUACACUUGACUGAAGCUUUAGGAGAGACCUUGAAGUAAGGGAUCCAACUGAGCUUGCGCCCAGAUUUCUGAUCCACAGAAACUGAGAUAAUAAAUAUAUGUUGCCUUAUAGAGGGCUCAAGUUAGGGAGACAUGUGCAGUGACUUAACUUACAAUAGAAUUUGAAAAGUGCCAUUCAUUGAAUGCUUAACACUCAGUGAUAAAUGUGUGCAUAUAGGACCCCAUUUAUUCCUCACAAUAAACUGGAGAGGUCACGGCAAUUAUCAUUUCACUUCACUUAACAAGCAAACACCCAUAGGCGUUAAGUGUCUUGCUCAAGCUCACUCUGCUGGGUGUCAGAGCCUCUCCGCACACCCAGGGCUGUUGGAGCAAUCAGCUGAGAUGCUCUAUGUUAGGUGGGUGCAGCAACAGACUAUGGUCUGGUCAAAUGACCAUAUCAGGGUGGGCCUCACAGAGGAGAUGACAUUGAGCUGAAUCUUGAGAAGUUUGGGGAGUGUGCCAAGGAGGAGGAAGGGUACCACCCAUUCCCAGGCAGAGGGGACGAGAUCUGUACAUAUGAUACAGCAUGGUAUGUGUGGGGAGUGGGGGCACUUGGAGCAACAAGG